AGCUUGGGCUGCUACAGGGAAAGUCCAAUGUCUGAUUUUAUGGAACUUACGCUAAAAAGGUGGACAAGAUGAAGUAUAAUUGCUAUGGUCUACAUCAUCUGAUCGCAGAUGCAUCAAGUUUCAGGCCGUAGCAAGUUAAUAUUGAGUUGAAUCAGAAAGUCAUAUUUAUUCAUUAUAAACUUCUUAAUGGAUCUUGUUUCUUGACCACACUUAGCUUAGAUUAACAAGUUAUAUUUCAAAGCCCUCAUUUCCUUAUUUUCUUAUCAGGGGAUAUGGGCUGAGAAACAUGUCUUAAAAAUAAGACAGAUUAUAGGCAUUCCAGGCAGGUUUAUUUGAUAUUGGUCCUCGAGAUAUUCUGCUAGUUCUAUAGAUUGGGAGGAUUACUAUAGGCACUCUAGGCAGGUUUUAUAAGCAGUAGAAUUUUCUCAUUUUUGGCUUCUCUGUCGUCUUUUUCUGGUUGAAUUUUGAUUCCUUUGUCUCGUAUUGCGUUGCAAGGUGCCUGCCCUAGAUUACCUAAUGAAUUAUGUAGCCAUUCUAACCCAGUAAUUUAAGCUAAAAGCUUGGUAUUAUUGUAAUACUCAGUUAUUCUCUAUAUUUUUAGACUGGGGAGAUAUGCCUGGAUAUCUUGAAGAAUGCUUGGAGCCCUGCGUGGACCCUCCAAUCUGUUUGCAGAGCUAUAAUAGCUCUGAUGGCGCAUCCAGAAGCGGAUAGUCCUCUCAAUUGUGAUUCAGGCAAUCUUCUGCGAUCUGGCGACAUCAGAGGAUACCGAUCGAUGGCGAGGAUGUAUACACGACUUGCUGCAAUGCCAAAGAAAGGAUGAUCGUCAGGGGCAAAUUAAAACCUCCAGUAAAUACAUCCACUUUCGUCUGUCUAUCAGUGUGGCGGUUAAUAGACUGCUAUUACACUGCUAUCAUGUUCCUUAUUUUUAAUGAACUUGAUACCUGUAAACUGCCGUGUUGUGCGCUAUUUCUUUACCUGUAAUCUGAAGAUUAUUCUGCUAAUAAUCAUCAGUGACUAGCCAUUCCUGCUUCCUGAAGAAUUUCCAGGCAUAAUCUUACUCAGCAGAGCUACA